CGACGAUCCGUAGCGGGUCUGAGAGGAUGAUCCGCCACACUGGGACUGAGACACGGCCCAGACUCCUACGGGAGGCAGCAGUGGGGAAUUUUGGACAAUGGGCGGAAGCCUGAUCCAGCCAUGCCGCGUGAGUGAAGAAGGCCUUCGGGUUGUAAAAGCUCUUUUCGGCCGGGAAGAAAUCGCAUGGGUCAAUACCCUGUGUGGAUGACGGUACCGGAAUAAGAAGCACCGGCUAACUACGUGCCAGCAGCCGCGGUAAUACGUAGGGUGCGAGCGUUAAUCGGAAUUACUGGGCGUAAAGCGUGCGCAGGCGGUUUGGUAAGUCAGAUGUGAAAUCCCCGGGCUCAACCUGGGAACUGCAUUUGAGACUGCCAAGCUGGAGUUUGGCAGAGGGGGGUGGAAUUCCACGU
rnacentral:rRNA from 1 species